CCCCACCCCGCGAAUCCAGGCCUCACUUGACACCCGGGGAACUGAGUCCGGCCUCUGUGAGUCCGAGAGCAUGUACAACCAACUUCCCUACAUCCUCUCCAUCCUCCCCACACCCUCUCCAUCCAACCCACAGCUGGAGCAGAUCCGCAGGGACAUCCGAGACUUCCGGUCUAGCGCAGGGCUGGACAAAGUCAUCGUGCUGUGGACGGCAAACACGGAGCGCUUCUGUGAGGUGAUUCCAGGCCUCAACGACACAGCCGAGAACCUGCUGCGCACCAUUGAGCUUGGUCUGGAGGUGUCGCCCUCCACGCUCUUCGCCGUGGCCAGCAUCCUGGAGGGCUGUGCCUUCCUCAAUGGGUCCCCACAGAACACCCUGGUGCCCGGAGCCCUUGAGCUCGCGUGGCAGCGCCGGGUUUUUGUGGGCGGAGAUGACUUCAAGUCAGGCCAGACCAAAGUCAAGUCCGUGCUCGUGGACUUCCUCAUUGGCUCCGGCCUCAAGACCAUGUCCAUCGUGAGUUACAACCACCUGGGCAACAACGAUGGGGAGAACCUGUCGGCGCCAUUGCAGUUCCGCUCUAAGGAGGUGUCCAAGAGCAACGUGGUGGACGACAUGGUGCAGAGCAACCCAGUGCUCUAUACGCCCGGCGAGGAGCCUGACCACUGCUAUGUGCCGUACGUGGGUGACAGCAAGCGCGCGCUGGAUGAGUAUACCUCGGAGCUGAUGCUGGGCGGAACCAACACACUGGUGCUGCACAACACAUGCGAGGUGCGGCGCGGCUUCAGGGGCUGCUAUGGGAGGCAGGGCUUGGCCACCGCCCCCAUCUCCUGACCCACCCGCCCCGCAGGACUCCCUGCUGGCCGCACCCAUCAUGCUGGACCUGGCGCUGCUGACCGAGCUGUGCCAGCGCGUGAGCUUCUGCACUGACGUGGACCCC
rnacentral:sRNA from 1 species